AUUUGCUCGCUUCUUGUACACCGUGUACUGCUUUAAAGCAGAACGUCUGCCUGUAAAACACAGACUACCUGCUCCACGUACACGAAUCGGCAAGUUAAAUCCUGGGAACUAAAACAAACAGCUUGGAGAAAUGUUUCCUGCUAUAAGAUGGCUCUGUCAAUGUUCGAGGUGACUUCCUCUAGCAUCGCAUCAAGAUAAGUGCUGGACGGUGUCUCAUGUGAUUUCAGGUGGCCCAGCAUACGGAGACUCUCAGGAGAGACCCACCCUGAGGAGAAUUAAUAACAGACAAGGAAGCCAAUGAUGUCUGAGAGUGGUUUGCAUCAUCAUGCCCUACUAGUCCCCUGAGGACACAUGUUAAAGGGCCUAGAGAUACAACCGCCCGUCAGAGCACAACAUGAUGGCUGUCAUUCAGAAUGGAGACCAUGAGUUCACUUGUGUCAUUACCCUGCUGAGAAGAAGACCUGAGACGUACCACUGUCAACGGCACUGCCACGUUGCCAGCCUUAUCGCAGAGAAGUGCAAUAAACUCCAGUGAACAAAGCGAGUGAAAAAUCCAUCAGACUCGAUGGCUGACAGAUGCCACCCAACGAAAUAAACACUAACUGGCUUUCAGUUGGCACUGAAAUAUAGUACUUUGAAGAUGGAAGUAUUCAAAACGAACACAGCUGGAACUGUCACAACGGCCCCCAUAGCAACAUUGCAAUUUUUAAAACUUCCCUACUUCCUUUGGUUUCUUUUGCCAUUAGGAAAAUUAAAGACACCCUUCAUUCAAUCGACAGCUUGGCUUUCAUCUCAUAGAAAAGAUGAAGUGACACUAGUGUAUGAGCUAUAAUAAAAGCUGGAUUCUCUGAAAAAUUAGACCCUACAGAAAGAAAGAAAAACUCCAGGUUAUAUUGCUGUAAAAUGAA